CCUACGGGUGGCAGCAGUGGGGAAUAUUGGGCAAUGGGCGCAAGCCUGACCCAGCAACGCCGCGUGAAGGAAGAAGGCUUUCGGGUUGUAAACUUCUUUUCUCAGGGACGAAGCAAGUGACGGUACCUGAGGAAUAAGCCACGGCUAACUACGUGCCCGCAGCCGCGGUAAUACGUAGGUGGCAAGCGUUAUCCGAAUUUACUGGGUGUAAGGGGCGUGUAGGCGGGAAGGCAAGUAAGAUGUAAAGACCAUGGCUCAACCUGUGGCCUGCAUUUGAAACUGGUGUUCUUGAGUACUGGAGAGGCAGACGGAAUUCCUGGUGUAGCGGUGAAAUGCGUAGAUAUUAGGAGGAACACCAGUGGCGAAGGCGGGCUGCUGGACAGCAACUGACGCUGAGGCGCGAAAGCGUGGGGAGCAAACAGGAUUAGAUACCCGGGUAGUC
rnacentral:rRNA from 1 species